rnacentral:lncRNA from 1 species
GUACACAGAUCCUAAACUAGAGUAGUCAAUCCCAUCUUGACACACACACCGACAAGUCAAGUACUUGACUACACCCAGCAGCCUUCCAUCACUGAAUUAGAAAUUCAGGUAGUCCAGUGCCUAAGUGCAGUGAGUUGCUUGUAAGUCACCAUGGCGGUCUCAGGUCGGAGGGACAUUUAUACCCAUAUUCCAUCGGAGCAAAUCUUGACAGCAGAAAUAGCUCCAGAGUCGGUCACAUUCAGUGCAGAUGUACCCUUACAUCUCACCUGUAUGCCAUACCAGUGUCUCCACACUC